rnacentral:rRNA from 1 species
CCUACGGGUGGCAGCAGUGAGGAAUAUUGGUCAAUGGACGAGAGUCUGAACCAGCCAAGUAGCGUGAAGGAUGACUGCCCUAUGGGUUGUAAACUUCUUUUAUAAAGGAAUAAAACGAGGCACGUGUGCCUUUUUGCAUGUACUUUAUGAAUAAGGAUCGGCUAACUCCGUGCCAGCAGCCGCGGUAAUACGGAGGAUCCGAGCGUUAUCCGGAUUUAUUGGGUUUAAAGGGAGCGUAGAUGGGUUGUUAAGUCAGUUGUGAAAGUUUGCGGCUCAACCGUAAAAUUGCAAUUGAUACUGGCAGUCUUGAGUACAGUUGAGGUAGGCGAAAUUCGUGGUGUAGCGGUGAAAUGCUUAGAUAUCACGAAGAACCCCGAUUGCGAAGGCAGCUUACUAAACUGUGACUGACGCUGAAGCUCGAAAGCGCGGGUAUCGAACAGGAUUAGAUACCCUAGUAGUC